UACGUAGGGGGCAAGCGUUGUCCGGAAUCAUUGGGCGUAAAGCGCGUGUAGGCGGCCCGGUAAGUCCGCUGUGAAAGUCGGGGGCUCAACCCUCGAAUGCCGGUGGAUACUGUCGGGCUAGAGUGCGGGAGAGGCGAGUGGAAUUCCGUGGUGUAGCGGUGAAAUGCGCAGAUAUCAGGAGGAACACCAAUUGCGAAGGCAGCUCGCUGGAACGUAACUGACGCUGGAGACGCGAAAGCGUGGGGAGCAAACAGGAUG
rnacentral:rRNA from 1 species